UUCGCCUCACAAUCUCAGUCUCGGAUUACUAAUCUGAGAAUCGCCAUCACCAAUACCAAGAAGGGCUCGAUGUCAAGCUCGGCGUAUAUGGCGAAGAUGAAAAGUCUUGGGGAUGAACUAGCUGCUGCAGGUCGUCCCGUAUCUGAUCCGGAGAUGGUGGACUAUAUUCUGGCCGGACUGGACCGCGACUACGACCCCGUGGUGGCGGCGAUCGGCGCUGUCAAAAACAUCAUCACGGCCGACGAUCUUUUUGCCCAGAUUGCUGCCUUUGAUCAAAGGAUGGAGAUGCUAGGCGACUCAUCUUCAGGCGGGUUCCAUUCAUCCGCUAAUGCGGUCUACAGAGGCCGUGGCCAGUCCCGUGGCAGAUCUCGCGGGCGUGGAGGAAGAGGCCGUGGCCGUGGUGAUCGUGGUGACCGCGGUGACCGACAGUCGUCUUCCUCCAAUGGAGGCGGCGGAUUCAGAGGCCGUCCUCGACAGCAACAGCAACAGCAGGUUCGUGAGCAACAGCAUGACUAUCCAGAAUGUCAGAUAUGCUACAGACACCAUCCAGGAGGUGCACGAGUUUGCUGGUGGCGUUAUGAAGAAAACGACCAGGAAGAAAAGGAGGCGCAUGCAGUCUCCUAUGGCGUGGACACCAACUGGUACGCCGACAGUGCAGCAACAAACCACAUCACAGGUGAACUUGACAAGUUGACGAUGCAGGAGAAGUACAAUGGAGGCGACCAAAUUCGCACGGCAAGCGGUUGUGGACUUGAAAACAAGGAGAGUCAUUCU
rnacentral:rRNA from 1 species